ACACAGUUCCAGUGGGUUCACAAUGGCAGUAUGACAAGGUCAGCUCGGAGGUUUCGCCUGGCUCAGCAAAGACCUGCAGAGCUGCGGGUCAUGCUGCUCAGCUGACGGGGCUCUUUGCUUGUUCACGGUGCUCUUUCUCGAAGGGGCCCCAGUGACAGAGCCAUUCACAAGCACGGGCCAUAAAUGACCGAGUUGAACACCACAUUAAGCACUGCAUUCUCAGAAAUCUGAACUGACUGGAGCACAGCCAAAAUGCCAGGAACAAAAGGUAAUAAGUCGGACAAGAAGUCCGCUACCAAGCAACCUCAGAGUCCUAAAGAGCAGCCGAAGAAAGCUGAUCAGAAAGGAGAUGAUAACAAGAAGCAAGGAGGACAGCCGAAGGGAGAGAAGCAAUAACUUCCAGGCAUUUGUGAAGAUGGCUUUGGAGACACUGCUUGGGUCCUGCCGUCGUAAACAUGGGAGCCCCCGGGGCAAA